GUCUUCAGGAUAAGCCCACUGAAGAUUGAGAGGACCUCAGAUACUAAGGCAAUGGGGCCAUGCACAUCACUGACUGUUCAUGACUGAGUUAUAAUGACUGAAGAGGAAUUUAAUGCUCAUAUCUUUGGAAAACCAUUUAAAGAAAUAACGACACUCUUUUGCCUACUUUAGAUUGGACAAUGCAACUACUUCUUCUGUCCAGAAUAUUAUGCUACCUACAGAGAUGAACUUUAAUUAAAUAAGAUCAUGCUAUGGAGUUUGGAUCCUACCAAGGAACACUGGACUUUCCAUUUAGGAUUUCACUGCCCUAUCUGAUAGUGACCUGCACC